rnacentral:lncRNA from 1 species
UCUGUUAAAAAUAAAGAUGAAUUAGACUCACCUUAGACAGAUUGACUCAAAAUCUCUGGAGGGAACCCAGGAACCUUCAUUCUAACAAGAACCCCCAGGUGGUUCUUAGCACUUCAAAGUUGGGGAGCCUCUGCUUCCAUCGGAAAGCAUCAAGCAACAAUGGCCAUAAUAGAAAUGCUACUAUCAAUGGGACAGAAAAGAUACCUGGGAAAGAUUGCUCCUGUUGGCUGUGACAGCUUCUCUGACUUUGUUUGUGAUGACUUCGAGAGUCUUAAGGAGAAAUCAUCGGCUAUUUUGUAGAAUGGCCCUCAAGUGUGGUUUUGGCAGGUGAUUUUCUCAUGAUUGGACUGGGGUUGUGGGUUUUUGGAAGGAAGAAUACAGACAUAGUCAUUUCCAUAACAUCCAUUCACUUCAAAGCAAUCCUACGUUUGGGCAGUGCUCAGCAAGGAUGGUUAUUGCUGCUGCACAUGGCAUCAGCUGGAGAAGCUUGAUGCCAGGGUUGGAGAAUCUGCUUUAAAGAUAGCUCUUUUACACAACUGGUAAGGUGGUGUUGGCUGUUGGCUGGGAGCUCAGAAAAGGCUGUAUGCUUCUCCUUGGGCAUCUUGGACUUUCUCAUAAUGUGGUGGCUGGGUUCUAAGAGUGAGUGUCCCAAGAGAGCUAGGCAGAAGUACAUGACAUUUGUAUGACCUAGACUCCAAAGUCACAUAGUGUCAUUUCUACCAUACUCCAUUGAUCAAGGCAGUCACAAAGUCAAACAGAGUUUCAAGAGGAUGGAACGCAGACCUUUCUUUUUGAGGGAGUAAGAAGCUUC